rnacentral:rRNA from 1 species
UACGUAGGGCGCAAGCGUUAUCCGGAAUUAUUGGGCGUAAAGAGCUCGUAGGCGGUUUGUCGCGUCUGCUGUGAAAGCCCGGGGCUUAACCCCGGGUCUGCAUUCGAUACGGGCUAGCUAGAGUGUGGUAGGGGAGAUCGGAAUUCCUGGUGUAGCGGUGAAAUGCGCAGAUAUCAGGAGGAACACCGGUGGCGAAGGCGGAUCUCUGGGCCAUUACUGACGCUGAGGAGCGAAAGCGUGGGGAGCGAACAGG